CAGGAGAAACUGUACUCCAGUUGGAGAAAAAAUGCAUCAGAGAAUUGUUGUCUUGACCCUACUUGCGUCUUUAGGAUAUGGUAGUAAAGAACGUGUUUGGAAUCCUGAGGGUACAGUGCAAGUUUUUCAAAAACAACUGGCUGAAAUCAAGUGCAACUUUGAAACAACGGAUACUGCUCCUUAUCUCUUCUGGUACAUUCAGCCACUCAGUGGCUCUCCUCGGCAUUUACUAACCAGGACACCUACCUACAAAAUCAAUGCGGAAGGUUUUGAAGAAAGAUUUAAAUCGACACUGAAACUUGAAGACAAAACAGUUCAUCUGAAAAUUGCGCCUUCCAGGCUCUCCGACUCUGCCAUUUAUUUCUGCGCAUUGCGGCCCACAGUAAGGAUAAUGAAACUGAGAGCAUUACACAAACUAUUGUCGCAGAAAUACUGCUUUAAAAAUAACAACUUAUAAGCGCAUAUGUUGUCUUAUAUACCAAAAUUUACAUCUUAAAAAUCAUAAAAAUAUAUCCUUAUAAUACAGCUCACAAUGAUACAAGUUUAUCUAUUGAAAUAUUACCAUUGCAAUGACAAGGGUGAAUGUUGGGAGCUCUGCUUCUCAGGUAAUACACGUUGACUUUUUUGAACAUGGAAUAAAAACUUGUGAGAGCUUAGAAAGUAUCCAGUUUGCUAAUCUGUCCACUUGGCCUCAGCAGGUCAAGAUACCCAAUAAGCACUAAUGAUUUACAACUGUAUGUCAUGUGGCUGGGAUGGAAAUUAGCAGUCCAAUUUUGAGGUUACAGUCCUCUCGUGGCAUGCAGUCUUCCAGGUUAUAGAAUAGGUUUUCUAAUUUAAGAAAACAUGCCUUUUGCAUUUCAGAGAUAAUAAUUAUG